rnacentral:rRNA from 1 species
UGGGGAAUUUUGGACAAUGGGCGAAAGCCUGAUCCAGCAAUGCCGCGUGUGUGAAGAAGGCCUUCGGGUUGUAAAGCACUUUUGUCCGGAAAGAAAUCCUUGGCUCUAAUACAGUCGGGGGAUGACGGUACCGGAAGAAUAAGCACCGGCUAACUACGUGCCAGCAGCCGCGGUAAUACGUAGGGUGCAAGCGUUAAUCGGAAUUACUGGGCGUAAAGCGUGCGCAGGCGGUUUGCUAAGACCGAUGUGAAAUCCCCGGGCGUCAACCUAGGGCAACUGGCAAUUGGCUGAUGCUGGCAGGCUAGAGUAUGGCAGAGGGGGUGAGAAUUAUCCACGUGUAGCAGUGAAAUGCGUAGAGAUGUGGAGGAAUACCGAUGGCGAAGGCAGCCC